UGCUUCUUGUAAUACAUAUAAGAAGUAAUUCCUGCCCAGUGACUAACGUUCAACGGCCGCGGUAUCCUAACCGUGCAAAGGUAGCAUAAUCACUUGUCCAUUAAUUGUGGACUAGAAUGAAAGGACCAACGAAAUAAAAUCUGUCUCUAUAAGCCCCAUAAAAAUUAAUCUCUAACUGAAGAGUCUUAGAUAACGUCGAAGGACAAGAAGACCCUAUAGAGCUUUAUUUUAAUAAAAAAAUAAAAAAUUUUUACUAAAAUUCGGUUGGGGCGACCAGGGAAUAAAAAUCAUCCCCUUAAGCAAGAUAAAUAAAUCUUAAUCUCGACCCUUAAUAAAGAUCACCAGAAAAAGCUACCUUAGGGAUAACAGGCUAAUCCUACUAAAGAGUCCUUAUCAAUAGUGGGGUUUGGCACCUCGAUGUUGGCUUAGGGAAUCUAUGCGGCGCAAAAGUCACAUAAAGAUGGUUUGUUCAACCAAUAAUACCC
rnacentral:rRNA from 1 species